GGUUGGCUGAAAUAUGAUGAGUGUAGUAAAUUUGAUCUUAAAAACAUGAAAGUUUGUGAGAUCCAACUCUGAUUUCAACCAGAG
rnacentral:snoRNA from 12 species